CAGAAAUACUGUUGCGUCAGUAAUUCGGACAUUUCAUCGAGAAAACAGGAUUGAGGGUCGAGGACACCAAGGUGGAAGGGGCCCUAUGUUUACUCGUGCACAAGAGGCCGCAAUUGUGAACAUGGUUUUGGCCAAUAAUUGUAUCAGGCUACGAGAAAUCCAAGCCAAUAUCAUCAAUGAUGACAAUAUUUUCAAUAACAUCCAACGAGUCUCUCUGUCAACAUUAGGUCGAUUCCUAAAGAAAAAUCAAAUAUACAUGAAGCAACUGUAUCGGGUACCAUUUGACAGAAAUUCAGAGAGAGUGAAACAUCUGCGCAAUGAGUAUGUGGAGAGAGUCUUGCAAAUGGAUGCUGCUGAAAUUCAACAUGAAGAGGGAGAAAUGUAAUAGGGCACUGGGCAAUCACUAAUGUGCCAGGGCAACGAGGGGGUAACAUCACCCUUUACGCUGCUAUCACACAAAAUGGGGUCCUCCACCACCAUGCAAAUCUGGGACCCUAUAAUGCAAAUCUGAUACUUGCAUUUCUUGACCGAUUGCUUGAGAUUGUCACCGCAUUACACCAAGUGGACCAGAUGCGGUACAUUGUCGUUUGGGACAAUGUCCCAUUCCAUCGGGCUGCUCUGGUCCAGAACUGGUUCCAUGAUCACCCUGAUUUUGAAGUUUUAUAUCUUCCCCCAUACUCCCCCUUCCUGAAUCCUAUAGAAGAAUUUUUUUCAGCGUGGCGUUGGAAGGUAUAUGACCUGCGGCCUUAUGACCGUUUGCCCCUCAUUCAGGCCAUGGAACAGGCAUGUGAUCUUAUUGAAGCAGCUUCAGUGCAGGGGUGGAUUCGUCACACAAGGCGAUUCUUCCAACGGUGCCUUGCCAAUGAAGACAUAGCCUGUGAUGUGGAUGAGAUUUUAUGGCCUGAUCGAGCCAGACGGAGAGACGAAUAGUUACAGUAUUCUUGUUGCUUUUACUGUAGCUUUCUUUCAUUUCUGUUUACUUUUACUUUUUCUUAAGAGUCAAAGUGUAUGUACUGUAAUUC